AACCAUUCUCACCUGCGGCUAGACCUGCGGAAGGAUCAUUACCGAGUGAGGGCCCUCCGGGUCCAACCUCCCACCCGUGUUUAACGAACCUUGUUGCUUCGGCGGGCCCGCCUCACGGCCGCCGGGGGGCACCCCGCCCCCGGGCCCGCGCCCGCCGAAGACACCUGUGAACGCUGUCUGAAGUUGCAGUCUGAGACACUAGCUCAAUCAGUUAAAACUUUCAGCAAUGGAUCUCAGAUC
rnacentral:misc_RNA from 1 species